rnacentral:rRNA from 1 species
GACGAACGCUGGCGGCGUGCUUAACACAUGCAAGUCGAGCGGUAAGGCCCUUUCGGGGGUACACGAGCGGCGAACGGGUGAGUAACACGUGGGUGACCUGCCCUUAGCUCUGGGAUAAGCCUGGGAAACUGGGUCUAAUACCGGAUAUGACUCCAUGACGCAUGUUGUGGGGUGGAAAGCCUUGUGCGGCUAGGGAUGGGCCUGCGGCCUAUCAGCUUGUUGGUGGGGUGAGGCCUACCAAGGCGACGACGGGUAGCCGGCCUGAGAGGGCGACCGGCCACACUGGGACUGAGACACGGCCCAGACUCCUACGGGAGGCAGCAGUGGGGAAUCUUGCGCAAU